UGGGGAAUAUUGCACAAUGGGCGCAAGCCUGAUGCAGCCAUGCCGCGUGUGUGAAGAAGGCCUUCGGGUUGUAAAGCACUUUCAGCGGGGAGGAAGGCGUUAAGGUUAAUAACCUUGGCGAUUGACGUUACCCGCAGAAGAAGCACCGGCUAACUCCGUGCCAGCAGCCGCGGUAAUACGUAGGUGGCAAGCGUUGUCCGGAUUUAUUGGGCGUAAAGCGAGCGCAGGCGGUUUCUUAAGUCUGAUGUGAAAGCCCCCGGCUCAACCGGGGAGGGUCAUUGGAAACUGGGAGACUUGAGUGCAGAAGAGGAGAGUGGAAUUCCAUGUGUAGCGGUGAAAUGCGUAGAUAUAUGGAGGAACACCAGUGGCGAAGGCGGCUCUCUGGUCUGUAACUGACGCUCAGGUGCGAAAGCGUGGGGAGCAAACAGG
rnacentral:rRNA from 1 species